GACGAACGCUGGCGGCGCGCCUAACACAUGCAAGUCGAACGAGCGAGAGAGAGCUUGCUUUCUUGAGCGAGUGGCGAACGGGUGAGUAACGCGUGAGGAACCUGCCUCAAAGAGGGGGACAACAGUUGGAAACGACUGCUAAUACCGCAUAAGCCCACGGUGCCGCAUGGCACAGAGGGAAAAGGAGCAAUCCGCUUUGAGAUGGCCUCGCGUCCGAUUAGCUAGUUGGUGAGGUAACGGCCCACCAAGGCGACGAUCGGUAGCCGGACUGAGAGGUUGAACGGCCACAUUGGGACUGAGACACGGCCCAGACUCCUACGGGAGGCAGCAGUGGGGAAUAUUGCACAAUGGGGGAAACCCUGAUGCAGCGACGCCGCGUGGAGGAAGAAGGUCUUCGGAUUGUAAACUCCUGUUGUUGGGGAAGAUAAUGACGGUACCCAACAAGGAAGUGACGGCUAACUACGAG
rnacentral:rRNA from 1 species